rnacentral:rRNA from 1 species
GAUGAACGCUGGCGGCGUGCCUAAUACAUGCAAGUCGAGCGAACGGACGAGAAGCUUGCUUCUCUGAUGUUAGCGGCGGACGGGUGAGUAACACGUGGAUAACCUACCUAUAAGACUGGGAUAACUUCGGGAAACCGGAGCUAAUACCGGAUAAUAUUUUGAACCGCAUGGUUCAAAAGUGAAAGACGGUCUUGCUGUCACUUAUAGAUGGAUCCGCGCUGCAUUAGCUAGUUGGUAAGGUAACGGCUUACCAAGGCAACGAUGCAUAGCCGACCUGAGAGGGUGAUCGGCCACACUGGAACUGAGACACGGUCCAGACUCCUACGGGAGGCAGCAGUAGGGAACCGUCCGCAACGGGCGAAAGCCUGACGGAGCAACGCCGCGUGAGUGAUGAAGGUCUUCGGAUCGUAAAACUCUGUUAUUAGGGAAGAACAUAUGUGUAAGUAACUGUGCACAUCUUGACGGUACCUAAUCAGAAAGCCACGGCUAACUACGUG